GGCCUAAAACAUGCAAGUCGAACGCCCUAGCAAUAGGGAGUGGCGCACGGGUGCGUAACAUGUGGGAAUAUGCCUUUUGGUACGGAACAACCUCGGGAAACUGAGGCUAAUACCGUAUGGUCCCUUCGGGGUAAAGAUUUAUCGCCAAAAGAGUAGCCCGCACUGGAUUAGCUAGUUGGUGAGGUAAUGGCUCACCAAGGCGACGAUCCGUAGCAGGUCUGAGAGGAUGAUCUGCCACACUGGGACUGAGACACGGCCCAGACUCCUACGGGAGGCAGCAGUGGGGAAUUUUGGACAAUGGGCGAAAGCCUGAUCCAGCCAUGCCGCGUGAGUGAAGAAGGCCUUCGGGUUGUAAAGCUC
rnacentral:rRNA from 1 species